rnacentral:rRNA from 1 species
CAUGCAGUCGUGGGGCAGCAGGCCAGUUCCUUUUGGAACUGGUGCUGGCGACCGGCGAACGGGUGAGUAACGCGUGAGCAACCUACCCCGAGGAGGGGGAUAACCCGGGGAAACCCGGGCUAAUACCCCAUAAGCGCACGGCCCGCAUGGGCUGUGUGAAAAGGGUGGCCUCUGCACUGCAAGCUGCCGCCUCGGGAUGGGCUCGCGUCCCAUCAGGUAGUUGGUGGGGUAACGGCCUACCAAGGCUAUGACGCGUAGCUGGUCUGAGAGGAUGAUCAGCCACACUGGAACUGAGACACGGUCCAGACUCCUACGGGAGGCAGCAGUGGGGAAUCUUGGGCAAUGGGCGAAAGCCUGACCCAGCAACGCCGCGUGGAGGAAGAAGCCCUUCGGGGUGUAAACUCCUUUUGCAGGGGAAGAGAGUGACGGUACCCUGCGAAUAAGCUCCGGCUAACUCCGUGCCAGCAGCCGCGGUAAUACGGGGGGAGCGAGCGUUACUCGGAAUUACUGGGCGUAAAGGGUGCGUAGGCGGCUUAGUAAGUUGGGAGUGAAAGCCUACGGCUUAACCGUAGGGUUGCUCCUAAAACUGCUAAGCUAGAGUCCGGGAGAGGCUGCGGGAAUUCCUGGUGUAGGGGUGAAAUCCGUAGAGAUCAGGAGGAAUGCCGAAAGCGAAGGCGCGCAGCUGGAACGGUACUGACGCUGAGGCACGAAAGCGUGGGGAGCAAACAGGAUUAGAUACCCUGGUAGUCCACGCCCUAAACGAUGGCCACUAGUGGUUGGGGGGAUAGUCCCCCAGUCACGCAGCUAACGCGAUAAGUGGCCGCUGGGGAGUACGGCGCAAGGCUAAACUCAAGGAAUAAGACGGGGACCCGAACAAGCGGUGGGAGCAUGUGG